GAUAAACGCUGGCGGCGCACAUAAGACAUGCAAGUCGAACGAACUUAACCAUUAGUUUACUUUUGGAGCGGUUAGUGGCGGACUGGUGAGUAACACGUAAGCAACCUGCCUAUCAGAGGGGAACAACAGUUAGAAAUGACUGCUAAUACCGCAUAUACCUAAGCAUCGCAUGAUGCAAUAGGGAAAGGAGCAAUCCGCUGAUAGAUGGGCUUGCGUCUGAUUAGCUAGUUGGUGGGGUAAUGGCCUACCAAGGCGACGAUCAGUAGCCGGACUGAGAGGUUGAACGGCCACAUUGGGACUGAGAUACGGCCCAG
rnacentral:rRNA from 1 species